rnacentral:rRNA from 1 species
GGCGCACGGGUGCGUAACGCGUAUGCAACCUACCUUCCAUUGGGGGAUAGCCCGGGGAAACCCGGAUUAAUACCGCAUAACACCAUGACAUGGCAUCAUGUUAUGGUUAAAGCUUUGGCGAUGGAAGAUGGGCAUGCGUGCCAUUAGCUGGAUGGCGGGGUAACGGCCCACCAUGGCGACGAUGGCUAGGGGUUCUGAGAGGAUGGUCCCCCACACUGGUACUGAGACACGGACCAGACUCCUACGGGAGGCAGCAGUAGGGAAUAUUGGGCAAUGGCCGAGAGGCUGACCCAGCCAUGCCGCGUGCAGGAAGAAGGCCUUCUGGGUUGUAAACUGCUUUUACCAGGGAAGAAAACGCCCCCGCGGGGGUAACUGACGGUACCUGGUGAAUAAGCACCGGCUAACUCCGUGCCAGCAGCCGCGGUAAUACGGAGGGUGCAAGCGUUGUCCGGAUUUAUUGGGUUUAAAGGGUGCGUAGGCGGCCCGUUAAGUCAGCGGUGAAAUCCCAGGGCUCAACCCUGGAACUGCCGUUGAUACUGGCGGGCUUGAGUUCGGUCGAGGCGGGCGGAACUGGCGGUGUAGCGGUGAAAUGCUUAGAUACCGCCAAGAACCCCGAUUGCGUAGGCAGCUCGCUGGGCCGAAACUGACGCUGAGGCACGAAAGCGUGGGGAGCGAACAGGAUUAGAUACCCUGGUAGUCCACGCCGUAAACGAUGAUGACUCGAUGUUGGCGAUACACUGUCAGCGUCCAAGCGAAAGCGUUAAGUCAUCCACCUGGGGAGUACGCCCGCAAGGGUGAAACUCAAAGGAAUUGACGG